AGUAAGGUACCUUAAAUUCACUUUUAAUAU
rnacentral:piRNA from 1 species